AGUCUGUUUAUUCCCCAAUGAGACUUGCACUUGCCCUUCGACAACCAUCUGCUAUCACAUCAUUGGUGCUAGGAUAAGUAUUGGACUAGAUGUUUCCUGUUCACAACAAAAAGUUAAUUUAUCUCAAUUAAGAAGGAACACUCGGUCAUGGCCUCAGAAAAAAAGUGGUAGAAAAGCCCCUAGGAAAGGAGAUUAUGAAGUUAUUUGUGCCCCAGAUUCAGAAGAAAGUUUGAAAGUAUGACCUAUGUAUAACCAUACAUGCAAUACAAUGUUACUAUUAUCUGAAAUUAAUGUAUAGGAUUCAGGAUGCAAAUCUGUCGUAGAUCAGGAAGAUUCCCAGGCUGCUAAACAUUUCAAAGAUAAUUUAAAAUCUGCUGUAAAGGAGAAUGAAAUUAGUGCUACCGGUAAAGGAAUCAAUAAUGAUAAUAAGACAGGACAUGAAUCACAUGAUAAAAAUCUAAGUCAGCGC